GAUGAACGCUGGCGGCGUGCCUAAUACAUGCAAGUCGAGCGAACGGACGAGAAGCUUGCUUCUCUGAUGUUAGCGGCGGACGGGUGAGUAACACGUGGAUAACCUACCUAUAAGACUGGGAUAACUUCGGGAAACCGGAGCUAAUACCGGAUAAUAUUUUGAACCGCAUGGUUCAAAAGUGAAAGACGGUCUUGCUGUCACUUAUAGAUGGAUCCGCGCUGCAUUAGCUAGUUGGUAAGGUAACGGCUUACAAAGGCAACGAUGCAUAGCCGACCUGAGAGGGUGAUCGGCCACACUGGAACUGAGACACGGUCCAGACUCCUACGGGAGGCAGCAGUAGGGAAUCUUCCGCAAUGGGCGAAAGCCUGACGGAGCAACGCCGCGUGAGUGAUGAAGGUCUUCGGAUCGUAAAACUCUGUUAUUAGGGAAGAACAUAUGUGUAAGUAACUGUGCACAUCUUGACGGUACCUAAUCAGAAAGCCACGGCUAACUACGUG
rnacentral:rRNA from 1 species